rnacentral:misc_RNA from 1 species
GAUGAAGAACGUAGCGAAGUGCGAUAAGUAAUGUGAAUUGCAGAAUUCCGUGAAUCAUCGAAUCUUUGAACGCAAAUUGCACUUUCUGGUAUUCCGGAGAGUAUGCCUGUUUGAGGGUCAGUGUAAUAAAAAUAAAUCGUGGUUGUUUGCCACCUUUUCGUGGUGACGCUUCGGAAUUGAGUCGUCUUUACCCCUUCGGGUUAAGUGACUUAAAAUUUUUUCAUACGAUUUCGAAACGUAUUUAAUGCAUUAACGUACGUUCACGAAUAUCGAAUGUUUUAUUAGGUGCGGUCAUUUUCAUGAAUUCGCGUCUAUAUUUUUUUUUUUUUUGACCUCAAAUCAGGUAAGAGUACCCGCUGAACUUAAGCAUAUCAAUAAGCGGAGGA